rnacentral:rRNA from 1 species
AGAGUUUGAUCCUGGCUCAGGAUGAACGCUGGCGGCAUGCCUAAUACAUGCAAGUCGAACGAGAGGAAGGAAAGCUUGCUUUUCUGAAUCUAGUGGCGAACGGGUGAGUAACACGUAGGUAACCUGCCCAUGUGCCCGGGAUAACUUCUGGAAACGGAUGCUAAAACCGGAUAGGUAGCAGACAAGCAUUUGACUGCUAUUAAAGUGGCUAAGGCCAUGAACAUGGAUGGACCUGCGGUGCAUUAGCUAGUUGGUGAGGUAACGGCCCACCAAGGCGACGAUGCAUAGCCGGCCUGAGAGGGCGGACGGCCACAUUGGGACUGAGACACGGCCCAAACUCCUACGGGAGGCAGCAGUAGGGAAUUUUCGUCAAUGGGGGGAACCCUGAACGAGCAAUGCCGCGUGAGUGAAGAAGGUCUUCGGAUCGUAAAGCUCUGUUGUAAGAGAAAAACGACAUUCAUAGGGAAUGAUGAGUGAGUGAUGGUAUCUUACCAGAAAGUCACGGCUAACUACGUGCCAGCAGCCGCGGUAAUACGUAGGUGGCGAGCGUUAUCCGGAAUGAUUGGGCGUAAAGGGUGCGUAGGUGGCAGAACAAGUCUGGAGUAAAAGGUAUGGGCUCAACCCGUACUGGCUCUGGAAACUGUUCAGCUAGAGAACAGAAGAGGACGGCGGAACUCCAUGUGUAGCGGUAAAAUGCGUAGAUAUAUGGAAGAACACCGGUGGCGAAGGCGGCCGUCUGGUCUGUUGCUGACACUGAAGCACGAAAGCGUGGGGAGCAAAUAGGAUUAGAUACCCUAGUAGUCCACGCCGUAAAC